AACGAACGCUGGCGGCAGGCCUAACACAUGCAAGUCGAGCGAGACCUUCGGGUCUAGCGGCGGACGGGUGAGUAACGCGUGGGAACGUGCCCUUUGGUACGGAAUAGCCCCGGGAAACUGGGAGUAAUACCGUAUAAGCUCUUCGGAGGAAAGAUUUAUCGCCAAAGGAUCGGCCCGCGUUGGAUUAGGUAGUUGGUGGGGUAAUGGCCUACCAAGCCGACGAUCCAUAGCUGGUUUGAGAGGAUGAUCAGCCACACUGGGACUGAGACACGGCCCAGACUCCUACGGGAGGCAGCAGUGGGGAAUCUUAGACAAUGGGGGAAACCCUGAUCUAGCCAUGCCGCGUGAUCGAUGAAGGCCUUAGGGUUGUAAAGAUCUUUCAGAUGGGAAGAUAAUGACGGUACCAUCAGAAGAAGCCCCGGCUAACUCCGUG
rnacentral:rRNA from 1 species